rnacentral:misc_RNA from 1 species
GAGACUUUGCCCUUUAGGUAUAUCUCCCACCCUGAUUAUUUUACCUGGUUGCUUUGGCGAACAGACGCUAUAUGCUGAAGCUCGCCAGAGUGUACAUACUCUUGUUUCAUGUAGUCUGAGAAAAAACAAAAUAUUUAAAACUUUCAACAACGGAUCUCUUGGUUCU